rnacentral:rRNA from 1 species
GACGAACCGAGCGAACGUUAUUCGGAAUCACUGGGCUUAAAGGGCGCGUAGGCGGGCGGCCAAGUCAGGGGUGAAAGCCCCCAGCUCAACUGGGGAAGUGCCUCUGAUACUGGUCAUCUCGAGGGAGAUAGGGGCGUGCGGAACUUCCGGUGGAGCGGUGAAAUGCGUAGAUAUCGGGAGGAACACCGGUGGCGAAGGCGGUUCUCUGGGCCUGUACUGACGCUGAGGAGCGAAAGCGUGGGGAGCGAACAGG